GCAGGAGUGGGAACGCAUUAUUCCAUGCAGUGAAAUCUGAAGCAGCUUCCUGCCAUUUAGUAUGUCCAUUACAAGGUGUCAUAAUGAAAGCAGUAAUGGAUGAAUGUUAAAAAGUACAGAAGUUUGCUAUGCUUAAUUACAAAAGAGGAUGAUUCACUUCUCAUUCGUGCCACCCAGGGAAACUAGUCUGGCUGGAAGCCUCUUGAAAACGUUGUCUGAAAACAGUGCAGUCCACAUUUGUUGUGCCUGAAUCUGGAUUUUGUAAUCUUUAUAAAAGUCUGCUGUCAGAGACCUCUGAAAACUUUGGUCAAGCAUCUGUUCUGUGGCUUUAUCCCAGGUGGAAAGCUUAACUGAGUUGCAUCUGAAGCCUCCAGACCCUAGAGUUUCUGCAGAAUGCCUACAAGCUGCUUAAUCACCCUCCUUCUACAGAGAAACCCAAGGCAUAAAGUUUCUGCUGGAAGCAUCAGCAAUGUGGUACAUUUUGUGCCUCGAAGUGUGGAAGUCAGAAGAUGCCAUGAAAUACAGAUUGCCUGCAUGCCCACUGUCUGGAUUUCAGCAUUCAAUACAGAUGUGCUGCAGUUUUUAUAACUUUAGUGUUAUUCCUGUGUACUGCUAUCACAGACCUAGUUCAGAAAUAGGAUAUAAUUCUGAAAGGCAGCUCUGCUUCAGCCACAAACUGAUUAAUGACUCAUAGCACCAUACAGCACAUUCACCACAGAAACUGUUACAUGUUUAUCCAGAAUGAAAAGUAUUCAGACAGAAGAAUUAGUCAGUUUUAGUCUGUGGUUAGUCUUCUUUUGUCCAACCAUAACUGUAAAAUGAAUGCCAUUAAGAAUAUUGUAUUUCAGCCUUUUUUGAAAGACAUUUUCCUUAACCAUGUUGUGUUCUGUAACAACCUGUUUAUAAGUAAUCUUUAGCAGGAAAGUAACACGUCUUAGCCAUCAUCAACAGCAAUUUCUAGGGUCCUGGAGAUCUUUGUGGUAUUAUUAUUAUUAUUAUUAUUAUUAUUAUUAUUAUUAUUAUUAUUAUUAUUAUUAUUAUUAUUAUUAUUAUUAUUCUUUCACUGCAAAAACAAACAAACAAACAAAAACACAGACAAUCCUAUAAAUGUAGAACAAAAGAAAGACUGGAUGGGAAACAAAGCAAAGGAGGCCUUUCCGGAUUCACCUCAACAUUGCCUCUUAAUUGUUGUUAUUAUAAGAGGUAUUAAGGGCAUAUCUAUAAUGCAGCAUAUCAAAAUAACCAAGAUGCUGAACAAUUUUAGCAUUACGCAUGUACAACAAAAACUGAAGAACAAACAUCACACCAGACUGUCAAAUUCCAUCGGAGUAAUAGGAAGGCAAGCCCUCAGUUCUCAUGAGAAGAGUCAACAAUCCCUGGCUUAUGUUUUUCAACUUGGUGAUUAAACAGAACACACUUGUGUUCAAAAUCAGUAUGGAGAUGGCUGUGGAUAUGUCCACUAAUAAUUUACUACUUCUCUGUAAUUUACAUAGCUAAAACUAAUUUUAAUGAGAUAGAGUUUAGUUAACUGAAACUCCAAGAGCCUAAAUUCUAUCUGCAAUGCUCCCUUGGUGUUCUCAGAUUUAUGCAUGUAUUUAUAAUCACUUUAAUUAAAUCCAAAUUAGGCAAGAGUCUGAAUGAUAUGAAUGUAUGCAUUUGAAACAUAAUUAAUAGAAAGUACAAAACCUUAAGCCUCUAGGAGGUAUCUUUGAUGCAGUCCACGGAUUUUAAUGCCAGUUAAGAUGACUAUGCUAAGAACUACUUGAGAAGCUCUUCAGGAAGAGAGGUAAAUUGAAGAAGGAGUGGUGUUCUACAUGUGAAGAGGAGCCCACUGUUCUUUCUUCUGAAGAUGAGAGGAGAUCAAAGAGCAGCAGUAGAUCACAAAGGGGAGACCGUAGGAUUGUAUGGACAACUUUGACUGGGAGAAAGAAUAAUGUGAAAACUGCUGGUACAGUUCUACAUCUAACAUGCUGCAAAAAAGUGGCAAGGAAAGAGUUGAGGAAGUCAUCUUCAGCUGAGAACAUCUGUGAGUAAUUCUUAGUCUGCUCAUAUAGAAAACUUUUACAGUUCACAAAAGCAUAAUGACACGAGGAAAGUCUAUUAACCCUAAAUAGCUGCCGGCUUCAUCAGAAAUUAAGUCUUUUAAACAGAAUAAAUGAAUCAGCCACUCUUACAAUAGUUGAAAAGAGUGGCCUAUCAUUACAGCUGUCUUUUACAAACUACACAGGCUUAGUUUUGCUCAUUACUUUCAAAGUGAGCAGUCAACUGAUGCAUAAUGCAUUUAAUUCAUUGUUGUUAUUAUUGUUAUAAUACAUUUUCCCCAUGAGUUGUAGUUUUAUACUUAGGGAGCAAAUGAAAAAUACCUGAGUUCAAUGGUUCUCUUCUAAUUCACGUUACUUCUGUGUUUGAUUUUAAACUGUUUUCAUUAAAACAAUGAAUACUGAUACUGCAGAUGUACUUAGCUUCUCCUUGUAGUGUGAAAUCUGUUACAAUUUGUUUGGGGAGUGCAUGUACAUACCCUGCCUGAACUAGGAUUCCAGGCAAAAUGCUUCUCUGAAAUAAAUUUUCAGUGUUCUAAUAUAAACAUGGAUAAUUUUGAUUAAUAACUAGAUAUUAAAUGUUUAUAUAUAUCUAGAUAUACAUAUGUUUGUACAUCAAUAUACUCACACAUAAGCAUGCAUAAAUCAAGCUUGUAUCUUGAAUACUUUGAUCUGAAAAUAUUCAGAAAAUUUACACACAGUUACAAGGUUUUAGUUCAUUUGAGUCAGUUCCAGUCUCACAAGUCAGACAAACAAACGAUGUAAAUCUGUACUUCUUUAUGCUGUGUCUGCAAAUCUGCAAUAAUGUAAAUACAGGUAGUAGUGAGUUUGCUUGUCUUCCUUUGUUUUGCUGUUUUUUUGUUUGUUUGUUUCUAAUGGAAAUACCUAGGUGUCCCAUGUUCCUCUUGUGUUUCUAUGAAAAGAAUGCAGCUCUGACUCUGACCUCUCUAUUUCUUUCUUCAGGAAGUGUUUAAAUAAGGAUCUAAAAUAUUUUACACCCAAUCUGAUUCAAACUAACCCUCACUAUUUUCAGAUUUCUUUUGUAAAAUAUUUUUUUCCUUUGUUUUAAAGACAAACUUAACUCACUGUAAAAAUUCUUGCUAUGGGCAGGAGGAAACCCAAACAAAACUAUCAAAGAGAGCUGCACAACUGCAUAGCAUAAAUAUACUCACUCAGAAGCACAUGCAAAACUUGUGAGAAGUAGUUGACUCUUAUCAAAUUGCCUCUCAAAAGCACAAGAGAUAGAUCCAUCUGAGUAGCUAAAAUAAAUAUUUACUGCAGCAUCCAAGGGACCAUUAUUGUUAUAUGUGAGUAUUUGUAGUAGGAUAAAUGGUCUCUGGUUUUCUGAAAUUAGAAGGCAAUCAAGAAUAUAAACCCUGACUUUCUGUUGUCUUCUGAUGGCAAAGUUGAAACAGAUUCUUCAUCAAUUUUAGAUUACAGUUGACUAAUUAGCCCUUCAUAGAAUAUAUUUGAAAGUUAAAGACAUUACUUUAUGCACUGAUUAAAUUGAAACUUUUGUUUUAAUAUAAUUCUGUGUAAUUGAGAAGACAAUUUUGUAACAGAGGAAGAACCAAUUACAUAAUGUAAUACACUCUCCUUAAUGACAUGACUUUAUUGGAAUUUAAGUUAAUCACUACAAUGGUAUGAUGUGCUCUUUAUUAAUAUUGUAGCAUACUGCAUUCAAUUACUACAAUAUUAUUAGAAAAUUUAGUUCAUGCUCCCUGUAUCAGAAAUGCAAAUACAGGUCAUAAGAUUAAAAAGAUGUUUGAAAACUGAAGAGUAAUUUUGUACUACCUACUUGUACUUCUAAUUAAAAAAAAAAAAAAAAAAAAUAAAAAAAAAUCAUGCACAGCAUGAUGAAAACUUAAUUUCUGCUACAGGUAUGUAUUAUGUUACACAUUUCAAAGCUUUUGUCAUUAGAAUAUUAGAAAGCAAAUCUCUUAAAAGCAAAACUACUUCAUGUAUAUUCUAAAUGAAUUUUAUCUAAAGACUGCUCAGAAGUUUUGUAAUAAUCUGUCAUGGUUUUAUGAUUUUUGGUUACAAGAACCAGGGCAAAUCAUCCCAUAAACCAUUGACAUAUUCACACUAUUAAUACCUGCUUAGUUUUAUUUAAGAAUUCCUAAAUAAAAGAUACAAUGGAAGAACAGGAGAUGUUUGACCUUACAUUAUUACAUUGUUAGCUGCUUCUGUAAAUCAGGAGUAAUAUAUUGGUGUCCAGUAUAUAAGAGGAAAACUACAUCUAAGUAUGUGCUUUACCCAAAGUUAAUCUAGCUAAAUCCUGUGCUAUAGUUACACAGUUUAUUGUGCAUUGUAUUAGAUCUUGGAAAAUAAAAAAAGAAAAACUUUAGAAUGUAAAAAAAUUCAUGUGAGAUAAGCUGUUUGGAAGUGGAUAUCUAAAUUAAAUCUUAUACUUUUUUAAAAGAGAAGGCAUAAUGUGUUCAAAUUGGAUUCUGUAAAAGAAUCAGAUGCCUGGAGCUCUGCUACAAACACCUCAUAUACCUGAAGUUAGUAAAAAAUGGUUUAAACUUCACAGUUUUUUGAAACUACACAGUAAAAAGUAUUUGACUAAAAAUCUCAAAAAAUGUUGACCUACUAUUUUCCAACCUUUGCCAAAUAAAUAAUACUGUUUAACUCAAAUAUCCUGUGUGUCACAAAUAGGACCAUACAUAGUUUCAUUCCUUAGAAUGGUGUAAGUGUAAGGGAAAGAACAGAUAUCCUUGAAAAGGAAUCCAGGCAGUAUGGCCUAUCAACUCUGAAAGCAGGAAAAGAACUGUUUUUAAGGUUUUGAAAUAAAGAUGUAUAUACACUUUUCAAAUAACAUCUCUCCAAUUCAGUUUGAGGUACUUAUUCCAUAACUGUCUGCCACUAAUAAAUGUUACCCACUUCUCAGUUUCUGAGGGGGGUAAUAAUUAAGAAUUGCUUAAUUAUUUAUUACUUAGCAAAUACAAUUUAUGUGGUCUUUCAUGAUCCAAAGUUUGUCAGUUCUUCUCAGGAAAUAAAAAUAGAGCCAUCUGAUGCUGAAUAUUUUUGUGAAGUCAGUGUAACAUCUGGCUGUGCCAGAUGAUUUCUCUUAACAAGAACUACUGGAAAGUUUAACUUUCACUAACUGUGGCAUGUUGCAAAUACGAUACAUUUACUGGAAUAUAGUUGGCAAAAUGCAUACUGUGUUUCCUUUAACAUUUUGCUUCUUGCAAUUUGACAUAAGUUGUGUGCGAGUCCUGAAAGCAGAAGGCUACUAUUUAAUAAUUUUUUAUUUAACAAUAUGUAGAUUGCUGUAAAUAUCUUGCUGUCUAAGCUGAAAUGGACAUUAAUUUUAUUGAAGAGAGAAAUUAGGCUUAAGUAUCUACUUAAGGCAGAUGUAGUACUUACCUAACUCAUUUAUCCUGCAGAAAACAGCAAUGUUCUUGUAUAGGUUUUGUCAUACUAUACAGUGACCUGAAAGUUGAACAUGGAGUGCUCUUCUGAAACUGAAGAAUAGACAAUGGCUAGCUCAGACAGGAGAAACUAGAACAUGAAAGCUUAUUUUUCUUGUAAUUUUUUGAGAAGUGAAAUAAUUUCCAGUUUUCUACUACCAACACAAAAUUAACGUGUUGAAAGCAUUUUAGUCAUUUUCUCGACUUAAAAUAGCUAUCCCUAAACCUGAUAAUAAAAAACAAGAAGACUGAAUAUUAGAAAAUGGAUCUCUGCACUACUAUUGUAACCUAUGACAACUCAACAAUCACCAAGUAAAAGAAAAAAAAUCGCAACUUUUGCUGGAAAAAACAAAUAAUUAAAUCUGCCUUGAAUGUUGCUGAUUUAUUGAGGCCUCAUACUGUUUGGAUCUUAUGCAGAAAUAUCAGUUAAAUUAUACUCACUAUUAGCUAAUUUAUUUUCCUGCCCGUUGCAAACCUUAGGUAGUUGAUUCCAACUGUUUGUCGAAGAGUAAGUACAUCCUAGUUUUCUUCACGGUGGUAAUCUACAUGUUGGACUGGCUUGUCUCAUCUGACUAGUAUUUAUUUUUUAUGGUAGAGCAAUAAACUGGCAAAAAUAGCACAUUUAAUUGGCAUUUAAGCAAUACUGCUACAUUUACUUCAUAUUCUCCAGUGUGUUUUUAAUAUAAUAAAGAACCUAGUCAUCUAGAAAGAUAUCUAGAACUGAAAAUAGAUGAACAGCAUCUUCAGCACUUAACAUCCAGUCUCAUAAUUAUUGCUGUUUUAAGAGAAGAACUUAUAAAAUAUCUCUCAAAAGUCCCCAGUUUAUCAAAUAUUAGAAACUCAGUGUUGUUUUUUUUUUCAUCUGUUAAUCCGGAACGAUUACAUUUUAAAUGGGGAACAAAUUCUAAGUAUGAGCAAAAAACCAACUAAACAAAAAAACUACAGAUAUUCACUCAAUAGACAUACAUCUGCACCCAGGGUAAGAAU